AUUUCAUCUGUGCCGCAGCAUGUUUGCUUUUCAAUUGGGAACUCCUGUUUCUCCUUGCCUCGAAAUGGACCCCAACUGCUCCUGCUCGCCUGGUGGCUCCUGCUGCUGUGCCGGCUCCUGCAAAUGCAAAGAGUGCAAAUGCACCUCCUGCAAGAAGAGCUAAUGCUACUGCUGCCCUGUGGGCUGUGCCUAGUGUCCCCAGGGCUGCAUCUGCAAAGGGACGUUGGACAAGUGUAGUUGCUGUGCCUGAUGCCGGGACAGCCUUGCUCCCAGAUGUAAAUAGAGCAACCUGUAUAAACCUGAUUUUU